rnacentral:rRNA from 1 species
GGUAAUCCGGGUCUGUGUGGCGGUGUGAUACGGUGGGUGGAAGCGUGAAGCGGGAGCAUUGUGUUUAAAUGGUACGUAGGCGGCGUUAUAAGUCAUCUGUGAAAUGAUUUGGCGUAAACAAAAAAUGGACAUUGAUACUGUAGGGCUUGAAUAUUUGUGAAGUAACUAAAAUAUGUAGUGUAGCGGUGAAAUGAUUAGAUGUUACAUGGAAUACCAAGUGCGAAGGCGGGUUACUAACAAAUGAUUGACGGUGAUGGACGAAAGCGUUGGUAGCGAACAGGAUUAGAUACCCGUGUAGUC